AGCGAGUAGAUUCUAAUAGAUAUUCAAGUUUGUUGAAUAUCUGUUAUCAGAUGAUCACUCAUGCAGCGGGAUCGAAAGAGCAUAUUGAGGAUGCAACUACUAAGUUAUAUUCUAUGAUUGAGUUGUAUCGUGCCAACCAAGAACCCCCAUCGAUGACUCAAACGGGUUCUAAUGUUGGUUGUGCGACACAGGACACAACUACAUUUAGCAGUUCUAAGCAAGUACUCAGUCCACGUGUUGUGCGAGGGAAAGGCAGACCCCCAUCUUUGAGGAGAGUAUUCAGGAUGGAGACAGACAUGAGGAAAGCUAAAGCGAAGGAAGCUAAAGCGAAGGCAAAAAAAGUGAAAGGAAAUGGGAAACGUAAAGAGCGUGAUGGAGGAGAUACACCAGCCGUGGGUACUUGCAGAAAUUUAUUUGGUAAUUCAGAGGAUGAUAUGACACAUGUCCAUGACGUGCAGGUAUAUGAAGGGUUAAUAUUUGAGUUACAAUAUUGAAAUGUUUUCUAACAAAUAUAUAUCAACAGGCUGUUCCAGACAUACGAACUGUGGUCCAAGAAAUAGUGGUUGCAAGUCAAGAAAGUAUGCAAUUUGGGUUGGAGGGAUCACAACCGGUGCAAAAUAUUGGGUUGGAGGGAUCACAACCAACGCAGCCUUACGGGGAUGGAUCACAAUCGGCACAAUUAGAUGG